CAAAAACAUGUCUUUUUGAUAAUGAUUUAAGGUCGGGCCUGCCCAAUGAUUUUUAAAUGGCCGCAGUAUUUUGACUGUGCAAAGGUAGCAUAAUCAUUAGUUUCUUAAUUAGGAGCUGGUAUGAAUGGUUUGAUGAAAGGCUGACUGUCUCAGUUAGUUUUAUUUAGAAUUUUAUUUUUGAGUAAGAAAGCUUAAAUUUUAUAUAAAGACGAGAAGACCCUAUAGAGUUUAAUAGUUAUUUUGCUAGGUUUUUUAAAGGUUUUUUAUUUUCUGGUUUUUUGGCUAUUUUGUUGGGGUGAUGUGAAAGCUUAAUAAACCUUUCAUUAUUUUAACAUAGAUUGAUGGGUGCUUGAUCCUUGGUUUUGGAUUAUAAGAUUAAAUUACCUUAGGGAUAACAGCGUGAUUUUCUUUGAAAGUUCUUAUUGAUAGGGAAGUUUGCGACCUCGAUGUUGGAUUAAAAUUUACUUUUGGUGUAGCAGCUGAAUAGUUGGGUCUGUUCGACCUUUAAAAUUUUACAUGAUCU
rnacentral:rRNA from 1 species